rnacentral:rRNA from 1 species
GGGUAGAGUUCUUCGGGACUUGAGACCGGCGCACGGGUGCGUAGCGCGUAUGCAAUCUACCUUAUACAGGGGAAUAGCCCAGAGAAAUUUGGAUUAAUGCCCCAUAGUGUUAUAGAAUCGCAUGGUUUUAUAACUAAAGUUCCAACGGUAUAAGAUGAGCAUGCGUCCCAUUAGUUAGUUGGUAAGGUAACGGCUUACCAAGACAAUGAUGGGUAGGGGUCCUGAGAGGGAGAUCCCCCACACUGGUACUGAGACACGGACCAGACUCCUACGGGAGGCAGCAGUGAGGAAUAUUGGUCAAUGGGCGCAAGCCUGAACCAGCCAUGCCGCGUGCAGGAAGACGGUCCUAUGGAUUGUAAACUGCUUUUAUACAGGAAGAAACCUCCCUACGUGUAGGGACUUGACGGUACUGUAGGAAUAAGGAUCGGCUAACUCCGUGCCAGCAGCCGCGGUAAUACGGAGGAUCCAAGCGUUAUCCGGAAUCAUUGGGUUUAAAGGGUCCGUAGGCGGCCUUAUAAGUCAGUGGUGAAAUCUCCUAGCUCAACUAGGAAACUGCCAUUGAUACUGUAGGGCUUGAAUUUUUGUGAAGUAACUAGAAUAUGUAGUGUAGCGGUGAAAUGCUUAGAUAUUACAUGGAAUACCAAUUGCGAAGGCAGGUUACUAACAAACGAUUGACGCUGAUGGACGAAAGCGUGGGGAGCGAACAGGAUUAGAUACCCUGGUAGUCCACGCCGUAAACGAUGGAUACUAGCUGUUCGGAGCAAUCUGAGUGGCUAAGCGAAAGUGAUAAGUAUCCCACCUG